rnacentral:misc_RNA from 1 species
GAUGAAGAACGGAGCGAAAUGCGAUACGUAAUGUGAAUUGCAGAAUUCAGUGAAUCAUCGAGUCUUUGAACGCACAUUGCGCCCCCUGGUAUUCCGGGGGGCAUGCCUGUCCGAGCGUCAUUGCUGCCCUCAAGCACGGCUUGUGUGUUGGGCCUCCGUCCUCCUCCCGGGGGACGGGCCCGAAAGGCAGCGGCGGGACCGCGUCCGGUCCUCGAGCGUAUGGGGCUUCGUCACCCGCUCUUGUAGGCCCGGCCGGCGCUUGCCGACACAUCAAUCUUUUUUCCAGGUUGACCUCGGAUCAGGAAGGGAUACCCGCUGAACUUAAGCAUAUCAAUAAGCGGAGGA